CUGCUGGCGAGCAGGAAUACUUCACUGACCAGACCACGCUCUUCAUCGUGGAGAUGAUUCUUCUUGGCUGGGCCGAAGGCAGGAGAUGGGCCGACAUACUGAAACCAGGCUCUGUCAACACGGACCCCGUCUUCCCCAACAACAAGCUCACAGGAACAGACGUGGGAUACCCCGGUGGAUUCUGGUUCGAUCCAUUCGGCUGGGGAACUGCUUCGCCUGAAAAGCUCAAGGAACUCAGGACCAAGGAGAUCAAGAAUGGAAGACUUGCAAUGCUUGCCGUCAUGGGUGCCUGGUUCCAAGCUGUAUACACUGGUGCACGUCCGAUUGACAACCUGCUGGCUCAUCUCGCCGAUCCUGGACAUGCAACGAUCU
rnacentral:lncRNA from 1 species